CGAGCAGACGCUCACCAUCUGUCUUGACUAAUCAUCACUAUGACACUUGGAGUGAAGACAGUGAGAAAAGAUGCUCAUUAUCAGAUAGCAACAGAUAUAUAUUAAAGUGACUGGUGUUUAAAUUAGCAGACCCUUGUCUUUUGUGGGAGGAAAGAGGUCAGCCAACAGGAGAUGGCCUCAGCCAGCCCUCUGGAUUAGAAACAUCAGCAGCCUGCAAAAUUACUCUGACAACUGUAUGGUGGUUGGAUGUAUUGGGAGUACAGAGCAGUAGUGGACGGUUUUGUGGAGUGGUCUGGGAGGAAUCAUCUGCUUCCGAGAGAUGGUGAUCGAGUUUAGAAGGAAGAGGACAGCCACACAACCCAAUCCUGGGACAAGACGUUGAUGUGGUGCCAGGGUGCAAGUAUCUGGGGAUCCACAUAAACAACAGACUGAAUUGGAAGACCAAUAAAGAGGCCAUAUACAA